rnacentral:tRNA from 1 species
CGGGCAGUGGCGCAAUGAUAACGCGCCUGUCUACGGAUCAGGAGAUUCCAGUUCGAAUACUGGCUGUCUCGG